rnacentral:rRNA from 1 species
AGAGUUUGAUCCUGGCUCAGAUUGAACGCUGGCGGCAGGCCUAACACAUGCAAGUCGAGCGGUAGCACAGAGAGCUUGCUCUCGGGUGACGAGCGGCGGACGGGUGAGUAAUGUCUGGGAAACUGCCUGAUGGAGGGGGAUAACUACUGGAAACGGUAGCUAAUACCGCAUAACGUCGCAAGACCAAAGAGGGGGACCUUCGGGCCUCUUGCCAUCAGAUGUGCCCAGAUGGGAUUAGCUAGUAGGUGGGGUAACGGCUCACCUAGGCGACGAUCCCUAGCUGGUCUGAGAGGAUGACCAGCCACACUGGAACUGAGACACGGUCCAGACUCCUACGGGAGGCAGCAGUGGGGAAUAUUGCACAAUGGGCGCAAGCCUGAUGCAGCCAUGCCGCGUGUAUGAAGAAGGCCUUCGGGUUGUAAAGUACUUUCAGCGGGGAGGAAGGUGUUGAGGUUAAUAACCUCAGCAAUUGACGUUACCCGCAGAAGAAGCACCGGCUAACUCCGUGCCAGCAGCCGCGGUAAUACGGAGGGUGCAAGCGUUAACCGGAAUUACUGGGCGUAAAGCGCACGCAGGCGGUCUGUCAAGUCGGAUGUGAAAUCCCCGGGCUCAACCUGGGAACUGCAUUCGAAACUGGCAGGCUAGAGUCUUGUAGAGGGGGGUAGAAUUCCAGGUGUAGCGGUGAAAUGCGUAGAGAUCUGGAGGAAUACCGGUGGCGAAGGCGGCCCCCUGGACAA